ensembl:lncRNA novel transcript
GUGCUCUCACCAUUGUUCCAUCUGCGACUGAGCACCAUUUCUGCAAAAAGUAAAGAUGGCCUUGCUGAGAGAUCUUUUGUCUCUGUGCUGACUUUUCUUCACGGCACUGAUUAUCUUUUUCUAACAAUUUUGGUGGCAAUUGUAUGGGGAUAUACUUUCCUCCAGGGGCGUCUCUAGUCCUCUCUCACGAGGGGGCACUCUGCUGCCUCUUGCAGUGGCCUCAGGGGUAAGGGACCGAGACCCAUCCGGUGUGACCAAUAAACCCGGACUCUCAGCAAUGUGGAAAGAAACUGGCCAACAACCUGGGGUAAAGGAUCCUCACAUACCGAGGUGACGACUCUGUGCACAGACCAACGAAGGAGAAGCCACGGGAGCCGGUGUUAUGUCGUACCAUACAUCCAGGAGUUCAUCAAAACAACUAAGCCAAGACAUGCUAAGAAAGUUUGAAGAGGAAAACUAUACAGUAAAAGAGGAGGGAAUUGUAGGAAGUAAAAAGUUUCUGCUUCAAAGUUCCCCUUCUUGUUAAAGAAUAAAUCAUAAGUCUUAGAAAUAAUAGAUUCUUUUAAAGACUAA